rnacentral:rRNA from 1 species
UACAGAGGGGGCAAGCGUUGUUCGGAAUUACUGGGCGUAAAGGGCGCGUAGGCGGCCUUCUAAGUCGAACGUGAAAUCCCCGGGCUCAACCCGGGAACUGCGUCCGAUACUGGAAGGCUUGAAUCCGGGAGAGGGAUGCGGAAUUCCAGGUGUAGCGGUGAAAUGCGUAGAUAUCUGGAGGAACACCGGUGGCGAAGGCGGCAUCCUGGACCAACACUGACGCUGAGGAGCGAAAGCCAGGGGAGCAAACGGG